rnacentral:tRNA from 1 species
GGCGGGGUCGUCAGGGCCUGAAAACGGGGGCGGAGUGCCUAGACACUUGGAAUCAUAAUCCUUGUGUCGGGAGUUCAAAUCUCUCCCUCGCUACCA